UUUCCUCCUCCCCCCACCUGAGGUUGUUGUCGAAAGCAGCUGCAAAAAGGAGAGGGGGGAGUGGUUUGAAGAAUAAGAAUAGGAUCUAUGAUGGCAGUUCUGUUAGAUGGUGCUAUUUGUUGCUGCUGAAAUGAGCUCUCUACCAGCAAAGAAACAACUAUAACUAUGAUGGCAGGAAAAGAUGCACAGAGAACAAUAAGAAAAAAUAAAACACCAUGAAACAAGGUAAACGAACAGUAUUGCUGAGUGGAGAUGAAGUCAACAAGACUGAAUGGUCAAUGAACGUAUUAAGCUGCCUUACCUUGAGUCAAACUAUUGGACUGUCCAACUCAAUACUGGCUACACUAGAAGCGGCUGUCCAAGAUUUCAGAUAGAAGUUUUUCUCCAGUUUUUACCUGGAGAUGCCUCCCAGGGAUUAAACCUAUGUGAUGUUUUGAAUCUCUCUUAAUCUCCUUAAAACUUUCAAAAAAGAAGAAAACCUGACAUGAAAAUAGCUGCCGAAAUCUCAGACAGAGCUUUUCACUUUUGUAUUUACUUGUGCUUGCGAUAUAAAGUCUGAAACUGUG